rnacentral:rRNA from 1 species
GACGAACCGAGCGAACGUUAUUCGGAAUCACUGGGCUUAAAGGGCGCGUAGGCGGGCCAUCAAGUCAGGGGUGAAAGCCCCCAGCUCAACUGGGGAAGUGCCUUUGAUACUGGUGGUCUCGAGGGGGAUAGGGGCGUGCGGAACUUCCGGUGGAGCGGUGAAAUGCUUAGAUAUCGUCAAGAACACCGAUAGUGAAGACAGCUUACUAGGCUACAACUGACGCUGAGGCACGAAAGUGUGGGGAUCAAACAGG